rnacentral:rRNA from 1 species
AUGGACCUCAGGGAGAUCGACAAGUGCAGGCGACGUUUCCUUUGGCGCCAAGAUGAAGAGAUCACGGGUGCCAGCUGCAAGGUCAAUUGGCCGACAGUGUGUGCCCCCACGGAGCAUGGAGGCCUAGGCAUCCCCGACCUGCAACGCUUCGGUAGAGCACUCCGUCUUCGUUGGCUCUGGAUCGCCUGGCACCACCCGGAAAGGCCCUGGGUCGGCUCUGAAUUGCCAUGCGACGAGGCGGACUGGGCACUCUUCUCGGCCUCGACGAAGGUGACGAUCGGAGACGGGAUGCGGGCAUCCUUCUGGCGCUCCCCGUGG